rnacentral:rRNA from 1 species
GGGAUUGCCCUAGUAACGGCGAGUGAAGCGGCAACAGCUCAAAUUUGAAAUCUGGCCCUCGGGUCCGAAUUGUAAUUUGUAGAGGAUGCUUUUGGUGCGGUGCCUUCCGAGUUCCCUGGAACGGGACGCCAGAGAGGGUGAGAGCCCCGUACGGUUGGACACCUACCCUAUAUAUAGCUCCUUCGACGAGUCGAGUAGUUUGGGAAUGCUGCUCUAAAUGGGAGGUAAAUUUCUUCUAAAGCUAAAUACCGGCCAGAGACCGAUAGCGCACAAGUAGAGUGAUCGAAAGAUGAAAAGCACUUUGAAAAGAGGGUUAAAUAGCACGUGAAAUUGUUGAAAGGGAAGCGUUUGUGACCAGACUUUUUCUUAGUGGAUCAUCCGGUGUUCUCACCGGUGCACUUCACUGGGUUUAGGCCAGCAUCGGUUUCCGGAGGGGGACAAAAGCAUGGGGAAUGUGGCUCUUUCGGGAGUGUUAUAGCCCCUAGCAUAAUACCUCUCCUGGGGACCGAGGACCGCGCUUCGGCAAGGAUGCUGGCGUAAUGGUUAUCAACGACCCGUCUUGAAACACGGACCAAGGAGUCGAACAUUUGUGCGAGUGUUUGGGUAUCAAACCCUCACGCGUAAUGAAAGUGAACGGAGGUGAGAGCCCCUCGGGGUGCAUCAUCGACCGAUCCUGAUGUCUUCGGAUGGAUUUGAGUAAGAGCAUAACUGUUCGGACCCGAAAGAUGGUGAACUAUGCGUGGAUAGGGUGAAGCCAGAGGAAACUCUGGUGGAGGCUCGCAGCGGUUCUGACGUGCAAAUCGAUCGUCAAAUCUGCGCAUGGGGGCGAAAGACUUAUCGACCUCUAUAUGUCGGCCCCCC